rnacentral:piRNA from 1 species
UGAGGAAAACGAGUGUCCAGAUAACAGC